GUAGGGAAUAUUGGGCAAUGGAUGCAAGUCUGACCCAGCCAUGUCGCGUGCAGGAAGAAGGUCCUCUGGAUUGUAAACUGCUUUUUUGGGGGAAGAAUAGUUUUCUUGCGAGGAAAUGUGACGGUACCCUAAGAAUAAGCCACGGCUAACUACGUGCCAGCAGCCGCGGUAAUACGUAGGUGGCAAGCGUUGUCCGGAUUUAUUGGGUUUAAAGGGUGCGUAGGUGGUUUGAUAAGUCAGUGGUGAAAGCCGGUUGCUCAACAAUCGAGUUGCCAUUGAUACUGUCGGACUUGAGAGAAGUGGAGGUUCAUGGAAUGGAUGGUGUAGCGGUGAAAUGCAUAGAUAUCAUCCAGAACGUCGAUUGCGAAGGCAGUGGGCUGUACUUUAUCUGACACUGAGGCACGAAAGUGUGGGGAUCGAACAGGAUUAGAAACCCGGGUAGUCC
rnacentral:rRNA from 1 species